CUGUCACUAUGAUCCCAGCCGGAAAUGCUUCUCAAAGGGGGGAGAGGACUAUAAAAAGAAAGGGGAAACACACCAAGGGACCCCUCCUCCUCGCUCUCACUCUCUGUCCAUUGAUUCACUGCACCAGAAGGAACAAAGAAAGCAGCCAUUACACAGAAGAAAGGGUCCUGGUCUAAGAAAUUUGGCCAGUAAAACUACUGGGAACAUGUGAUUCCAGAGAGUGCUAAAAGCUCCCAGUGAAGGACUUUGUUGGAAGAAUUACCAAAACAGAUCCUUUUUCAUCAAUGUUUCUUUCAAGAACUUGUGAAAUUUCCCACAUCAUUCCCUGUGGAGCUGGUUGUGGGGGAAGAGGAUUCUACCAGUUUAAUCAAUCGCUUUAGAACCACAGAAACACUUGACUAUGGAAACCUUAAGGUUGUAAUCUAUUAUUCUAUUGACCUGGUGGUUCCUGUAUAUGAAUGUACCCAUGGUAUCUGCAUUUAUGAAAUUAUUUUCACUGAUUCCUAGGAUUAUAUUUUAUUUUUAAAUGGGAUUAUUCUCCUGUGUGUUUUUCUCUCUCCUGCAUUUAAAUGUCCUCCACCCCCCAAAGUACCAACUCCAUAUAACAUUCCCUCUUUCCGGGAAGCGUCACUCCCUUUUCAAGCCAGCAGAGACUGGUUGAUCAGGCAGCAGUCUCUCACUAUGCAGAGAUCUAGUGCAUCAUGUGUUACCAAGUCCAGAAUAAACAAGAUUUCUGUGUGAAAUUCAGAGUGCUCUACUCUCACUAAUUCUGCUCUGUGGGGAGAAGCAUAUGAAAUAUUUUGUUUUGAGACCCACUGAAUCAGUGGCCAUUAUUUGAUUUUUAAAUUCCUUGUUAAAUUGAGUAACAAAUUAAACCCAUUUAAGUGUGCGAGAACCCCACUUGAACAUUUAGGUACAGGAUCUGUCUGUAAAUGGAUUAAAUCAAAACCUAGACAUUUAAGAUAAGUUACAUUAAAUAUAUUUUUUAGUUCAGAAUUGAAGAGAACUUUCACGAAACAUUCAAGAAGGUAAAACUUAUGCAGAUAUUAACAAUUUAGUAUAAAUGUUGUUUAUUUAGGUCAAAUAUUCUGAGUGUCUGUUAGCCCUUUAAUGAUUUGUUGAUAUCUGUAGUUUUCCUUAAGGCUAAACAAAUGAAGAAGCCAUCUUGUUUUCUACAUCACUGGACCUAGCAUGCGAUAGCAGAUUUCCAUGGCAACAGGAGCUAGUAUGCCUGGUGUGAAGACAACAGUGUAGGCCUCAUUUCCUAAAAGCAUGUUUCUACUAAAGUUGAAUAACCAAUUAAAAGACUCUUUUCUGUCCUCCAGGGCUUCAGAGAUGCAAAUAGAGUUGUGAAGCCUGCCUGGUCAGCUGUUAUACCUAGUAACUCUUACUGAUUGUUUAAAAAUAGACUUCCAUUGAGUAACUUUCAGUAAACAAGGAAAAACAAGAUGUUUCUAGAAUUUCACUGAGCGCUGGAUUAAUGCACAAAAAUAAAAGGGUUGUUUGAAAGAGUGGACUGAGACAA